UGUUCUGUGGCUUAGUUGGAUAAAGCACCGGUCUAGUUAAUACGGAGUCAUGGGUACGAAUCCCACCAGAACGC
rnacentral:tRNA from 1 species